GAUUUCUGGUCCGACUUGCCUGUCCCGCCACGGUAACGUGUGUGAGUGACGGUGUGGGUCGUCCAUCCUUCUCAAUUCUACUGCUACGGUGCAAACUGGGGUAGUUAGGUUGAGAUCGAUUACUUUGAACAAAUUAGAGUGUUUCAAGCAGGCAUACCGCUAUGAAUACAUUAGCAUGGAAUAAUAAUUUAGGACUUCGGUUCUAUUUUGUUGGUUUCUAGGACUGAAGUAAUGAUUGAUAGGGACAGUUGGGGGUGCUAGUAUUCAGUAAGAAAGGGUGAAAUCUUUGGAUUUACUGAAGACUAACUUAUGCGAAAGCAUU
rnacentral:rRNA from 1 species